UCAGCCAAGAUUAACCCUAACCCUACGUUUUGUAAUUCUAGGUCCAGUGUUCAAGAGAAAAAACCCAUUAAUACUCAAUUUCAGAUAUCUCAGCUCUUCUGUGAUAGAGAAAUAGAUGGACAUCCCGGGAACCCACACAGCGAGGUUCAGCAACAGCAGCAGCAGCAGUGUUCAUGAAAUCGAAGGGACACGAAGACAAUCAUUUUCAUGAAUGACAUUUGAUAAUGGCAUGUUAUAGAGGCUGGAUUGGAACUUUUGGAAGAAAUAAGGUGAGUUUAACUUUGGCCAAUUCUUAUCAAAGUCAGCACUUGUCUUUUUGUCCUUUAGGGUUUGAAAGAUCACUGAUAUUAUUGCAAUUUUUCCACUAUUAUUGUAAACAAACUGUAUGCAAUGUUAUUGGGCGGUUCUUACGUCAUUGCGUUACAACAGUGCUAGUUUCAUGUUUACAUUUAGGCAUUUUUGGUCAUUAAAAAAAAAAUGAAUAUUCAUCAGCAGAAACCUUUUUUAUAGUACUAAAAAAGUUUGCUUGGCUUCCUAUUUUGGUGUGCAAUACACGAGUGUAACAAAGUAAUUGUUUGCUUGACUUUCUAUAUAAAACAUGAAUACAAAAAAUAAAUAAAUAAAUAUAAGACCUACAAACGAGUGUAACGAAAUACGUUGUUGUGAAAUAUAGACUUGAACUUUCUCUAGUACAGGUUUUAUUACUGUACCUGA